UCAAACGGAAACUGCCCAAGUAACCCAUCCUUUCCAUCUCCUAUAAAUACCGUACCAUCUCCUCCACAGCUCACCAUCCAAAUCAACAGUAAUGUUCUACAGUUAGUGAGAUGUAGAGAGAGAUAUGGCUAGCUAAUCCAUGAGAGAGGUCUAGAUAGAGAGAGGGAGAGAUGAUCAGUUCUUCAGAAGAGGCUACUACUAGCUAUCUAGCUUCAUGUUUAACUCUUCUUGGUUUGUGUUUUUGUGUGCUUGUUGGAGUUGUUAGGAGGAAGAGAGGGGUGAGAGGUGAGGCUGACAGAAGAGAGUGAGCACACAUGGUGACUUUCUUGCAUGCUGAAUGGACUCAUGCUUGAAGCUAUGUGUGCUCACUUCUCUCUCUGUCAGCCAUUUGAUCUCUCUUUCUCUCUUUCUCCCUCAUGUGUUAUACUGUUCUCUCAUAUCUAUCUUCUUUGAGGUAGUAAUAUACUUGAGCAAAUUAAGCUGCUUAAUUAUUUGUGUAUGAUGAUCAGCUGCUGAUCCGGCCUCAUUUCUUGCAUAUAUGACCACAACCACAUACAUGCUUGUUCAUUUUUUUUCACAAAGAAAGAGAACAGUUUAAUUUAAUUUCUUGGGGUUUUUGGAUCAGUUAAUUUGUCUUGAGAGGGGAAGAGAUCUCUAUGGGUUUUGGAGGUCUGACAGAAGAGAGUGAGCACACACGGUGCUUUCUUAGCAUGCAAGAGCCAUGCUGGGAGCUGUGCGUGCUCACUCUCUAUCUGUCAGCCGUUCACCAUGCCCAAUAUGAUUAAUCUCCUUCUCUCAGUUGACAGUAAUUUCUUUGCCAGAUCUCCUGUUAAAUUUUCUGCCUAGCUAGCUAUUAUGCACAUGCUUAUUAUGAUGAGCCUGCCAAUAUCAUCUCCACGGCAAAACACAAACUAGCUAUGAUUUGAUUCAUUAUAUUUCUUUUCGCUGUUUAAUUAAUUAUAUGCAGGCAUACACUAGCUAGUUUCCAGCUAGUACAAAGACGAGACGAGGUCGUUCUGACGAUUUUCAUAGUCGUCAGAAGAAGGUGUGCAUUGGUUUAAUUUUUGUUCUUGGCUGUCAGACUAGAUCAUCUCUGAAUGAUCAAGAGCCGGAUCAAAUAAUUAUUGUGAGCACCGAAAUCGAUCAUGCGUACUCUCUCUGUGAAGUAUUUCUGAGAAAUAAUAUGAGUGUAGCUAGUAUAUAUACUCUUGAAGGGUGUCUAAUUAAUUGGGGUCUCUAGCUAGCUCCUUCUCUGAAUCUGUCCAUGAAUUGAAUCUACUAUGUAUGUGCUGGUGCUUACUGUUAUUUCAUGUACUACAUAUAAUUGAUAAAUCAAUUUAGGCUUUCAGUUUCUUUAAUUUGUGAGCACAAGUUUACAUUAUAUUGUAAUUGGAAUCUGUUGCAAGUACUAUAUACUGUUUUUUUAUGCAUAGCAGUUGAGAAAUAGAAUCCAAUAUACUUGUGCAAUUUAUUCUAUGCCACCUUAAUUAAUUACUUCUUCCUAGUAAUGAAGUGCUAGCUUCGAUCUUUCAAUAUUACCUGUCAAUCUUAAUUUAUACUUGUUUAAUUUGACUGUAAUUUGCCAGCUAGAAUUAAAUGUACAUUAAAUUGAAUUCUUCAGUGUUGUUCUUGUGAAGUUAAAAUAAUUUCUGAACAUUCACCCCUCUAUAAUCAUUUGUCUAUAUAGAAAAAGCAUGAAGCAAUUCUAAUCACAAAAAUACAUGGAGUUGUCUAGAUCAAACAAUUAAUUAAUCAAUCAUCAAUCAAACCAAAGACGUGUAAGGUCAUAUAAUACAAAUUUAACUUGACAAGUUAAUGAGUAGAAGAUGUAUGCAACGAUAUUUUCCCCGUAGCUUAUACUACUGUCGAUAUAUGCGUGUGACCAUAGUUCACAAGCCCUGUAUUUUAUGAUUUCAAAUGUUCGUUCAUACAUAUACACUACUACAAAAGCCCUUAUUGACACCGAUUGAGAACCGACCAUAAAUACCGAUCGAUUUUCCAGCCGGUGUCAAUUUAACGGUACUAAGGGCACCCACAAUGGUUAUCUAUAGGCUCUCUAUAAGAUAUCCAUGUCAGCAUAUUUUCCUACUUGAAAGAGAUUAAAUGAAGAGAGAGAGAGCAAAGCUAUCUACUAACCUGGAGAUAGUCUAUAGAGAAAAACGAGACAAUGUAUUAGAAAGCUAUAGAUACCCAUGUAGACAUACUAUUGAGAUGGUUUACUAUUAAUCUAGUCUAUUGCUGAGAUGUACAUGUUUUAUAGAUAGCACCUUACUUUACCAUUGCGGGUGCUCUAAUGCACAACCAUAUAGGUACCGAUUUUAGAAUCAACGCCUAUAGAGAUUAUCUGCUAUUUGUGACUAUGUGCUAUUUGCUAUUUUUGAAACAUGGAGCAAUUAAUCUGUUAUAAUAAUCGGAUCGGAUGAACAAGUUGAAACAAAAAGGGUCCAAAUUAAGCCAUGCAGGUUUUUGCUAUAUAGUCGAGCUGUGUUGAUAGUUGUAAAAAAAAAACUGUGUUGAAAUCGUGAAAGUACCCAAGUUUGAUCUGAAAAAAAAUCGAAAAAGAAGCCCAAGUUGGGGCAAUGCAGGCACACGCACGGCGGAUGGAUGGUCCGGUCCACAUGUGUGAGAAGGGAAGCUCCACGUUCCUCCGGCCAAUUCAGGAAAAUAUUUCUUCUACUUAGCUUCAUCUGGGCUUCAUCCUUUUGGGGCAAUCUCUGUUUGAGCCAGCAUCUCAGCUAUGCAUGGGCCAGCAGCAGCUCAGCAUAAAAUUGGUCCCUGAAAAGUGUAAAAGUUACAAGUGGUUAACCGGUUACUUGUCCAGCAGAAAUGGUUUGGUUUGGUUUGCCAUCAUGUCGAAUGUACUUCUGGUUCUUAAAUAGUACUCUCUCCGUUUUUUUAAAUUAUAAGUCAUUUUGUUUUUUAAUUUUUUAUUUGAUAAAUUUAUAGAAAAUAUUAGCAAUAUUCACAACGUUAAAUUAGCUUCGUCAUUACAUGUAACUUUGAUAACAUUUUUGUUUUGUGUAGAAAAUGUUGCUUUGUUUGAUUAAGAAAAAAGUCAAAUCAACUUAUUAUGAUAUAAAAUAGAGAGAGUGUUCACCCUCUUAAGUACAACACUACGUACCAAAGUUAUAAUCAUGGAAUUGCGUGCUUUUUAUGGUUGCGAAUCACCUAACAUGUAUCAAACACUUUUUUCCCCUCCUCGCCAAAUGAUCUUUUUAAAAACUUUUUGGUAGACUUUUCUGGCCUCGGAUAAAAGCGUGUACCUUUUACUUGAAGAAAAAUAAUAGCUCAGCAUAUUUAAAACACUAUCUACCUUGGCCACGCCCUCCAUCAUUGUCAUUUCGAUCCCCCGUCAUUCAUGUAGAAUUCGGGUUGAAAAAACUACAAGCUCCAUUUUUUAUAUAUAUGUUUAUCAUAAUUUGCAUACGUCCCUUUCAUAGAUCAUCCUUUUGUCAUCCUAGCCGAAAGGGCGGCUGGGCUGACCUCCUUGGCAAGGAAAAUCAAUCGGAUGGAAAAGAACAUUGGAUUUGACCUAUUGAAAAUGAGAUCAGAAGAAGCACUCCUAAUGGUGUCAAUGUGAUGUUAGUACCCCUUUUCUGCCUAAUCUCCACCCCAGAUUCUCUCCCAGGUUGAGAAAAAGAAGAAAACCUAGAAAAAAAAAAGUGGCUUUCUGUGAUGGACGGUUUUGUUUGGCGUGUUUGGCUGUGGCCCUCUAUAUCACUGCUGCUCUAUCUAUCUAUCAUUCUAUCUCUGCACUGUGCCACUGUGCUACUGUGCUCCUGCUUUAGCCUUAGGGGCUAAUAAAACCUUGUCAAGUUGCAAUUUGUGUGGUGAUUAUGCUCUGAAAAUCUUAACAGUGCCUGGGGUGGCAGGGUCAUGACAAGGCACUUUUGCUGUGUAUCUUGGUGUGGGGUUUUCAUGUCCACUCGUAAUCAGAAAUAUUUCCACAUGUUUCUGCAUAAAAAGCAUGUGCUUCAUUAAUUCUUGAGAAAUGUCGAGCUAAACCAGGCUAAUAAUUUGUAACAA